rnacentral:piRNA from 1 species
UNGGAAUAGAGGCUUGAGGAGGUUUGUAGC